rnacentral:rRNA from 1 species
CAGCCGCCACGGGAAUACGUAGGGUGCAAGCGUUAUCCGGAUUUAUUGGGUUUAAAGGGUCCGUAGGCGGACUUAUAAGUCAGUGGUGAAAGCCUGUCGCUUAACGAUAGAACUGCCAUUGAUACUGUAAGUCUUGAGUAUAUUUGAGGUAGCUGGAAUAAGUAGUGUAGCGGUGAAAUGCAUAGAUAUUACUUAGAACACCAAUUGCGAAGGCAGGUUACCAAGAUAUAACUGACGCUGAGGGACGAAAGCGUGGGUAGCGAACAGGAUUAGAUACCCGGGUAGUCCCUGUCUCUUAUAA